ACCCCCAAUGAGGAAGCAACUGCUUCCACUGCUGAUGAUGCUAAUGAUGUUCAUCCCCCCCAGUGACAAGGGAAUGGACGACCCCAACACUAUCCGGAGUCUCAUAGCAUCUAGGGAGGCAUCUGUUUAUUUUUGCAGGAGAAGUGCUGCUUUUAUGCCAACAGAUCUGGGAUCAUGCAAAACAAGAUCAAAACACUCCAAGAAGAUCUAGAAAAGAGAAGAAAAGAAAGGACGGGCCUACAUGGUUUUUUACCCUACCUUCUUCCCCUGACCCUUACUUACCCUUAUGUUAGUUAUCACCUUUGGACCCUGUUAAAAAGGUUAGAGGCAAUAAAAAUCAGGUCAAGGUCCGAUAUCACCAGCUCAUUAACCACGAAUCUAACUAUUAUUCUUAACCACGCUCCAUAGCACCGAUGAUGGGUAAGAUCCCCAAAAUGGGACAACCUAAGACAGGAUAUGGAGAGGCUGCAUGGUGGAUUACAUUCAUAGUACCCAAAGAUGGGUAAGAUCACUCUGUGUUCAGUCAACCUAAGACAGAGACCAAACCUUUGAUGUUUGUAUCCCCAUGACGGGUAAGACUGAAACUGCAAGAGUAGGCAACCUAAGACAGGGACUAUGUUUUUCCGCCAUACAAAAAACAAAAGGAGGAAUUGUUGGGCCCUGCCAUGUGCCUGAGGCCUAGUGCAACUUCCCGAUCUUGACUAGAAGUAGAUCCAUCGAGCUACUUCCACGUAGCAAUGACUCAGCAAGACCCGGCCUGAAACUGCCUCUACCUAGAUACAGCCAACGUGGCAUCAUGCCAUUGGUCCAACCCUGUUACCACCCCUCACACCACCUCAGUCCCCGCCUCCUUUCCCUGCCCCUUCCACAUGCCCUAUAUAAGCAGCUCCUUGAUGCAAUAAAGUUGAGUUCUUGCUUCGACAGACUCCCGACUCCAUGUGUUCCUGUUGGGGCCAUUGACGCUCACCAUCCCGCUCAGCCCCUGGGACGAGAUUUGGCUGGCCCCAAUCUUCCCUCAACUGCAACUGCCGGAGGACCCGGCAAUUUGGGAGUGGUCUUCUGCCUGGUCCAUCGCUAAAACAGGAGAUACCAAAUGGAAGAAACAUCAACAUAAUUUAAGUGUGCCCCGGAAGUUCAACUUAGGUUCAAGUGUGCUGCGAAAUAAAAAAAAAGGUUGAAAAGCACUGCUAGAGGAAGGAGGUCCACCCUCAGGUCCCAUCCUGUCUGCCCAGUGGUUAGAUGAGGACCCAGCACAUGCCCCACUGAGACCCAUGAGUCAUGAAACAGAAUUUUACCCUUGGAUGGACGCCCAGGGAAGAAGCUUCCUCUCUCUUCUCCAGGGGCCACCUGGAAGGAGCUAGAUGUGACUGGAUGUGAACCGUGCCAGGACAUGGUCAAAGAAGCAUAUUAUGAUUUGUAUAAGAAGCAUGUUCCCAUCUGGACCUUUAACAAAUUCAGAUUGUUUUUGAAAAGAACCAAAAUGUCUUCUGGCCUAGGAAGAGAAGUGACUCUUCAAGUAUUGCACACCCUGAAAACAAUCAGGAAUCUGUAUGGCCCCAGUGUGCUUCUGAGUACUUGAACAGUCUGUGAGAUAAUAGACAUUCCAGUGCCUUAAAUGAAUGUGAGAAGUGUCCCUGAGCCUUCAUUAUCAUUAUCAUUAAGAAGAUUGCAUGAAAGAAAGAGAAGAAAAUGUCUUUGUUUAGAGGAACAUCUCAAAAAGCCAUUGAAGUAGAAAGUUCCAAGGUGCUGAGGAUGCAGAGUGAGAAGGUGGAAAGUUCCUGGGCCCUUAAUGACAUUUCAGCAAUUGGACUACUCUUAAAAAUCAUGUAUCUUCGCUUUUAAAUAUCCUUACUGUUUAAGACAUGUUUCAUUAGAAUUUUUAUCUCUGGAAUCAAAGAAGAUACUUCAGGAUUUGCAAUUUUAUGCUUAUUUAUUUCUUUUCUUUGUAGUCUUCUCCACUCCACUUGGUUGUAAUCAUCAUGACGACAAUGACUAGGCAUCUUUCAUUCACCCAGGAAUAUCUAGUGCCUACUACACAGAGUGUGGCACAUGGUAGGUGCUCACUAAAUAUCUGUGGAAGGAAGAAGGAAUGAAUAUUUCUCCUAAGACAAGGAGUCAUGGGAUCCAGACAAGCCAUACUAUUAUAUCAGGCCCAGCAUUCUGAUACAUUACUUUUUCCAGAACCACACAACAUCCCAUGGCAAAGGGGGCUCUGCUACAACAUUACUGAUUAUUUCAUGAUUAUAGAAAGGGCUUACAAAUCGUCUACUCUCCUUAAGGCAAGUCAGCCCUCCUCUCAUCACUCAACACGGAUCCAUCACAGAAAUGUCUGGAUUAGCCAAGAUAGCACUGAUCAUUCAGACUUAAGAGUUGAAAACCACAGCAUUGAUAAAGGAGAGGGCAUUGAUUUAAGCAGAGAGGCAUAAGCCCUUACCAUAAGCUUCAGUUAAAAGAAGACAAUUUCACAGAAUUGCAUUAGCUUGGGAAGUAUAAUUGCUCUUCUUGCCAAAAGAAAUUCAAAGGAGAGCUCUUUGUCUGCUCACUCACUCCAACAUGUAAGAGCCAAGCCUUGCCACUGAAUGCCCAGGCUGAUGUUUACUGUCCAAGCUCUGCGAUUAGCCAGUAAAGCUCAAGGCCUUUUAUGGGAGUCAAAAGAAUAAAUAGCAUUUUAAAUACACAUUCUCAAAGGUCAAGCCUUUGACCCAAAUCUGAAAAUUGAAGGAAUUGCUUACUGUAAUAAUUCUGCUAAUUUUCCAACUUCAUAUAAACCAUUUAUUUUACAGUAUAAAACUUGAACAUUCUUUUCUCACCUGCAGUUUUGUGGUUAUUUAGAAAAUAUAGCAGUAUUUUCCAUUUUAAUUGGAACUGAGUGACAGGAAUAAGGCACUUUAUGAGUUCUCUAGAUAAUGGUGGUAAGAUUUCAUAAAAAGAAAAGAAAAAGCCACUUCUCUUUCCAAGAGGUAUUUUAUAGUGAAUUUUUUUCAUUUUUAUUGCAUUUUAGAAUUCUAAUGAAGGCAUUUCUGGGAAACAUUUUCUUCCUUGUUAAUGAAUCAUCCUCUCUGGGAAUCAACAGGUGAUUUCAGGAGCCCAGGUGUGAGUAACAGGUUUUAGGUGGAUCUUUUGGGUGGAGCUAACAUUUAUUCAGUGCAUUCAUCUGACAAACAUUUGAUGUGCACCAAAUCAGAGUUCUGUUUUGGAUAACAGAAACCAAUUGAACUAAUUUCAUCAGAAACUUUAGUAGGGAUUAGGUGCUUACAAAACAGGAGGGCCAGAAGCCCAUGCUAGGCCAGGCGUCCUCAAACUUUUUAAACAGGGGGCCAAUUCACUGUCCCUCAGACCGUUGGAGGGCCAGACUAUAGUUUAAACAAAAAAACUAUGAACAAAUUCUUAUGCACACUGCACAUACCUUAUUUUGAAGUAAAAAACAAAACGGGAACAAAUACAAUUUACACCGCUUCAUGUGGCCUGCGGGCCGCAGUUUGAGGACGCCUGCUCUAGGCUGAUACCUAGUGUAGCUGGACUCUGGAAACAGACUUUAGCUGCUAUAGAAAAGCCAACUAUUUUUGAUAGGCUUAUCAAAGAUCAAAUAAUGAUAAGUGGCUGACCUAUCAAAAACAUAUAUUGGGGAAAGAUUCACUAUUUAAAUUGGGGGUGAAUUGGCUGGCGACUUGUGGAAGACCGAAACUGGUUUAAUACAAAAUGAAGAAUUAAUUUUUCCAAGUCUUGAAAGUAUGACUUUGGUAUUUUAAUAGGAAUAGCAUUGAAUUUAUAGAUUGCUUUGGGAAGUAUAGAUAUUUUAACAAUGUUGAUUCUUCCCAGCCAUGAGCAUGAUAUGUUCUUCCAUUUGUUAAUAUCUUCUGCUAUUUCUUUUUUUUAGGGGUUAGUAGUUUUCUUUAUAAAGGUCAUAACCCAGGAAAUUUUUAGUAAUAAAAACAAAGCCGGGGGCAUCAGCCUACCAGAAUUUAGGCUGUACUAUAAGGCCAUAGGGAUCAAACAGCAUGGUAUUGGCACAAAAAUAGAGACAUAGACAUUUGGAACCAAAUAGAAAACCAGGAGAUGAAACAAACAUCUUAUAGCUACUAAUCUUUGAUAAAUCAAACAAGAACAUACACUGGGGGAAAGAAUCCCUAAUCAAUGAAUGGUGCUGGGAGAACUGGAUAUCUACAUGUAAAAGACUGAAAAUGGACCCGCACCUUUCACCAUUAACAAAAAUUGAUUCUCACUGGAUAAAAGAUUUAAACUUAAGAUACGAAACUAUAAAAAUACUAUAAGAGAAUGCAGGGAAAAAACCUGGAGAAAUAGGCCUGGGAGAAUAUUUUAUGAGGAGGACCUGCAGGGCAAUUGAAGCAACACCAAAAAUAUAUUACUGGGAUAUGAUCACCCACACUUUCAUAUGAAUGAUAAAACACAACUAUAGCCCAGGGGAAGAGGAGGGUGAGGGGAGAGGAAGGGCGAGGGGAGGGGGAAGGCUGGCUGGAGGCAGGGUAAUUGGUGGGACCUCACCUAUUAUGUAUAAUGCAAAGGCACAUGUCAAAUCUAUUAAGAAUAGAGUAUUAAUGUCUUAACACAACAAUUAAGUAAGAGAAGUGAAGGCAAUGUUAACCAGUUUGAUGUAAGCAUUCCAAAUUGUAUAUAAAAUCAACACAUUGUACCCCAUAAAUGCAUUAACGUACAUAGUUAUGAUUUAAUAAAAAAAUAAAUAAAGUA